GAAAGGGCGAGGGGAAGAGCCGGGCGCCGCUCCGCUCCGCCGCAGCCCCGCGCGGGGCCUCCAAAGGACGCGGAAUAACAGCGGUUAUUCGCAACGCGCAGGAAAACGAUGGAGUUGGUCAGGAUUGGGGCGGUGACCAGAAUCCUACAAAAAAUCCAGUCUGCAAGUUGACGACACCUUUGCAAAGCCACUGUCACGGAAGAAUGACAUGUGAAGUUUCCAAAAAUCUAAUUUGGAUCCACAAGCCUGCAUGGUAUCAUCUUCCACUCUUUUGGAGACUGGCGAGGAGGGGCCUUCCUAAGUACUAUCACACUGCCUAUUACACAAGCACAGAGAGAGCUGCAUGCUCUUCAAGCAGCUGCAAGAUUGCAUCAGGAAGAAACCUGUUCUCUGGCUGGGUUACCAUGACCUUCAGGGUACAACCUGGCCUGCGUUCUUCACCAACAAAAGUUGGAGAUGGUAAGGCCUCAUUUCAGGUUGUCAAAACAGUGAUCCAAUCCAGUUCUUCUCUGGAUAGGAACAAAAUUCCAUGUGCAUGACCCACUCUUUCCAAGCCCAGCUUUUCCACUACAGUCAAACAGUGGGAGAAUGAGAAUUUUCUAUGUUCUUUAUUGUUAUAUGUUCUGUUUUACUCUCUUUUCUCCAGAAGUUUCAACAAAGUAUUUUCUUACAUUCCCUCAGAAGAUGAAUACGUGCAACAGCACAAAUCAUUUAUACAGCACCAACAUUUGCAUACAAAUCCUGAGCAGAGUAAAUGAGCAAAGUUAGUGAAUAAAGAUUUUAAAAUGGUUUGCUGCCACACUGCUGCAUUUUGGCAUCAUGUCAUUAUUUUGACCAAGGUCUGCAUUUCUGGCCUUUGCUGAACUCUCUGCACACUAUACUAUGCUGAACAGUGCCAGCAGAUCUGCUGGUGUCAUAAACAGUAAUUUCAGAUUUGAAGUAACAAAUAAACAUCUCUGGUAAUGAUAUCAACUUGUCCUCCUGAAGUUUUUCAACAGUAAAGACAACUGCAGUGCAACAAUAUUUGACUCUCACAGGACAAAUCACGGCAAAUUCAUCUGUCAUACAAACCUGUUGACUCUGAAACAAUGUUUAUUGCAGAAAUUUAAACAAGGCAAGGGGUUUUCUCAUUACAAGCAGAAGACCGCCAGCUUGGUAAACAUAAUUUUACUAAUCUUCAGCCACAGAGUGGCUGUGUUAGAACACGUACACAUUGCAAAGACAGAGAUACCAAUUUUGAGAUACCAAACAUGAGAUGCUGGAACAUGGUUAAGAGAAGAACUAGUCACUGCUACAGCCGCGCAUACAGAGAACGGAUGACAUGGUCUAUGAUGCCAAGUGUUCUGGGGAAAAGAAAAAAUGAAUUCUGGAGGGGAAAAAAUUAGUAAGAGUCUGAAACUGGACACUAAGUUAUUACAUAGUUUAGACUUCAGCUACUCCAUGUUGUGCUUUAUAAAUGAUGAAAUUGUACAACAAUGAUCAAAGAAAAUUCAGCAUUUGUGAAUUACCCAGACACAGUAGCCAUAACUGUCAGAGAAAGACCCAUGAAAGCAUGGUCAAGGUGGAUAUUCAGAAAGCAUUCUACAGAAUUCUUCAAACAAUCACAAAAUACAAGCGGUCAUGACACAAAAAGAAAAGCUUUGUAUGGACAAGUAAUUGGUUAAAUGGCAAGAAACAGAGGGUAUGAGUAAAUGGUCAAUUCCUGUAAUGGAGGGAGGCCACUUGCAAAUUUUCUCAAGAAUCUGUGAUGGACCUGCUGUGGCAAAGGUAAGCAGUGAGCACCAUCCAGUUAUUCUGAACAGUACAGACUAAAGGUUCAAGGAGGGACACUGUGAGACUGACUGGACAACAGAAUGGCAACUGACAUUUAACAAAUAGUGAUCUACAUGGAGGGGGAAAAAAACUGCACUCUGCAACGAGAUUUGGGAUUAUGAUAGGCCUAUGACAUCAGAGGUUUGGGCCUUGAGGGCUCUCAAAAAAAUACAUCAAAUGUUAGAAGUAAGGACAGGAACAUCAUUGCGCUGUUGUAUAAAUCUAUGUUUCAAUCUAACCAUGUUCAUACCUAACACUGCAUUUUUUUAUUCUCAUCUCAAAAGGGCAACAGAACUCAAAAAGGUUCCUAAAAGGGCAAAAAGGAUGAUCAAAAUAUGGUAUAGCUUUUCGUUCAAGAAGCAGUCUAAGCUAUCUUAGGUUUUUCAUUCUGGAAAAGAGAAUUCUGGAGAGGCCUAAGAAAUUUACAAAGCUUUAAGUAGAUUCCAGAAGGUGGCGGUACCAAGUUACUGCACACUGUCUCUUCCACUACAAGAAUUAAGACUCGUUGAAUUAAGCUUAUUGCAGAUAGCUUUAAAAGCACAAGUAGUGGUUCAACAUAUUAGUAGCAGCUCACCUGCAGAACCAUGAGCUCACUGCCAAACAAGGCUGUGGAUUCUGCCUGACUUCACAAAGAAGCUGGACAUACUCAGAGAUUAAAAUCUACUGAUGUUAACAAGGACAUAAACCACAACUAACUCCAAAACCACCUAUGCUUAAAAGAGUUGGAAACCUGUAGGAUGUCAGGUAAUAGCACAUUCAUUUCUCCCAUUCCUACUGCUCCACAGUCUUUUGUUUGUGGCUCUUGUAAAACACAUUGCUGGUCAAGAGACAUACUUGGACUGACCCAAUAUGGACAUUUUUGUAUUCUAAUUCUGCUUUCAUUCAAAUAGCAGAAAAAAACAUGAGGCAACAACACCUAACUCUGUUUUUCUCCACAAUUGUUAACAGCAGAUAAUUAAAUUACCACCACCCAUCUUGUGCAAUGAAUGACUCAUGGGACCUCUGUGGAAAGGAAAAAGGAAAACAAAGCAAUGCAAGUAAUUAAGGACUAGACCAAAACAUACAUGCAACUCAGAAGGCAAAUUAGCUAGGACGAACUUGCUUGUACAUUUCCCAAUCUAUGAUAACUUUGCUUCAUCUCUGUAUAGCUCCUGUUGUACAACUCCUGCUUAUAAAACAGCAUAGAUAAGUUUCCGUAGAUAAGUUUCUGGAAGAGUCUGAUAUACAGGUCUUCUGACGGAGAAUGCCAUUCACACAGCAGAAUCAAUAGCAUGAAAUAUGAAAUAUGUGAAUAAUCUCACCGGCUUCCCUGGAAACAGACAACUGAGUAAGCCAUCACAGUCAGUGCUUUAAGCUAAAACAGCUGAUCUUUUACUCAAGCAGAUACAGGAGCAAUCAAAAUAUAUUCUAGCAGCUAAGCUGUUCAGCCAUACCUCUUCCAACCACUCCAGGCAGAUCAAAGGUGCACAUGACCAUAGCUCUAAGUGUUAUUUAGCAAGAAGAAAUUGGGUGUCAGCACAUUGACAUGAAAGUGUUUUAUCAUCAGUACUGGAUUACAUCUCUGUCAGUUACAAUGACACUGCUGUAAAAGUUAUUCUGUAUGUUCUGUGUUGGAGCAUAACCAGAAACUGAUGGCUAAUUAUGUGUCAAAACUGGGCAAGUUUACCAGUAGAUGCAUCUGUCAAAGGGGAGGCAAGAUAAUUUGUUUUAAUCCUGGGUUCUUCCCUUGGACAGAACUUUCAGAAGAGAGUAGAAAAUGGCAAACACAUCUCAGUAAGUAUGCAUAGAGUACAGUAUCACAGAAGCUGCUUGUUUUCAGGGACAGACAUCAAGGGAUUUUGUUUUAGUAGGAAGAGCAAAACAGCAAUGCUAUAAAAGUUUCUAUGCCUGAUGGUGGCUGCUUAUAGAAAACACACAAAGAAAGUUGGAGUUGGAAUCUCUUUCUAGAUUAUAUUGUGAAAACCUGAGGUUUAAUGUCUUCUCUAAAAGCAUUAGCUGUUCUGUGCAAAUAUUCAGAAAGAUUUUUAAAUUGUCAGGCUUUUUUGUUUUUUAAAGAGAGCUGGAGGUAUUGGAUUUUCAAAGCAUUUUUAGAGGAGAGAUGGAAAAGAACUCUGUCAUACUUUAGGUAAGCAAACAAGAGUUAUUUAUCUAACUGCAUCACUAUCACAUUUUUGGCAUCACUGUCUACUUUUUGCUAAAGAAAAGAAAGGGCUAGUAAGCUUUACCCAGUGACAGCAGUCCAUUUUCCUGAACUGUCAUAGCUUUGUAACUUGUCAGUAUGCAUGUCAGGCUAACAACCUUGAAAUAUGUUGGUAAGUUACACACACAAACCCAUGGUUUUGGCCUUAACUUGUAGUUAUUGCGUUCAGUGUGCAUUCAUGCUGCACUUGGUCAUUUACUUCAAAAUCACUAAAACACAAAGCAUUUGUUUUCCAAGUGGGUAUGGAUUUCUCUUUUGGAGCCCAGCUAAUCCAUUCUCUUUUUAAUUACAAAUACCAAGUUUGGGGGUUUCAUUAGCUUUCUGCAUUGAACUGGCAUCUAGGAAAUCUUUGUAUACAGUUUAGACAAAAUUGAUUUACAACUAACUAAACUGGUUUACAUAUCAAGACUAUCUCAGGCCAUGAUUUUAGAACACUCAGUUCAAUGUCAUCUACAACAGCCCAUUUUCUGCAGUGAAUUACAGUUUUCAAAUAGUAUAUUCGUAUCACCACUUAUGCCAUAGUCUGUUCAGCUUCUGUAUACCUAUUCAGUGUCUGAUGAAAGACAAAACAGCAUUUUAAUAUUAAUUUUUAUGCCCAGAGUCUGUCAGUCAAUAGAUUCAAUGAUAUCAAGCAAUAUUUAAAACAUACAUAAUUCACAAUAGCUACUGAAGUAUGUAUAUUAUCCAGGAAACAACUACCUUCCUUUUGCCAGCAACAGUUCAGCCACUUCAGACUAAAGGAGUGAACUUCUACACCUACAGGUUGCUACUUGCCGUUAAAGACAAGGUAACUAACAUUGGUAAUGCAAGCUCUCACGAGACAGCACAAAGAACAGAGGAUACUAUUUGAAGACAGACAUGUACAAAAGACCAAAUGAGACUGCAAUUUUUUUUUCGAAAAACACCAGUAAAAGUUUGAGUAGAACAGGUAAUCUUUGCUUCUUUUAAAUUCUCCUUUUCUUCUUUUAAAUUUCUGGAAAAGGCCUGUAGACAUUAGGAAAAAGAUAUGAAUGACACAUUUAAUA